rnacentral:rRNA from 1 species
CGCGUAGGCGGUCUGAUAAGUCAGAUGUGAAAGGUACCGGCUCAACCGGUGACGUGCAUUUGAAACUGUCAGACUUGAGUAUUGGAGAGGCAAGUGGAAUUCCUAGUGUAGCGGUGAAAUGCGUAGAUAUUAGGAGGAACACCAGUGGCGAAGGCGGCUUGCUGGACAAAUACUGACGCUGAGGUGCGAAAGCGUGGGAGCGAACA